rnacentral:rRNA from 1 species
UAUGGGGCAAGCGUUAUCCGGAUUUACUGGGUGUAAAGGGAGCGUAGGCGGUACGGCAAGUCAGAAGUGAAAGCCUGGGGCUCAACCCCGGAAUUGCUUUUGAAACUGUCGAACUAGAGUGUCGGAGGGGUAAGCGGAAUUCCUAGUGUAGCGGUGAAAUGCGUAGAUAUUAGGAGGAACGCCGGUGGCGGAGGCGGCUUACUGGACGACCACUGACGCUGAGGCUCGAAAGCGUGGGGAGCAAA